CCCAGACAUGCCCGGGCGCGAGCAGCGGCUGCAGCGCGGCUAAAACAGCCGAGACAAAAUGCAAAGUUUCGACACUUUCAUUACAACUAUGAGUGUUUUUCUAACGUUAGUC